rnacentral:lncRNA from 1 species
GUUUUGGAGAAGCACACAACGUAACCCACAUGCUAGAAGCAAGCUACACAAGUGUGACUCUCCCUGGAGUGUGCUGGCUACACUCAGAGCCAAGAAGCUGUCAUUGGUGGGAUUUAGAAGACUUGCUCAUUUCAGUAAUUCUACACAAGUGAUUCUACACAAGCAAAGCCGAUUCAGCACUCUUCAAAAACAACUCCUAGAAAACAAGUGACCAGCAAUAUGAAAAUUCAACUGGUCUGUUCUACAGUCAAGAGUUUGCCAUAGACUGUACACACAAAGCUAAUAAAAAGAGUUGGUAUUCUUUGCUUAGACAUUUCCCACACUGCCAUAUGCCAACAAGCUUAAAGACUGAUUUUGCUGUUUGCUGGGAAGUCUCAGUAAUAUCCUUCCUGUUUUCCUUCCUCCCAGAGACCAGACACUGACCUGCAUGUGUGACAAGCCAAGCUGAGAAAGCAAAGGGAUCUUCUCUUCCAAACAUGUUGCUUCUCCUCUAUAACAUGAUCAUUAAGUGGCAACACACAGCAGAGAAAAGGAGACAAGAGAGACAAAGGAAGAGACAUAGGAAAAUGGGUAGUAAGAAAUCAACCUUCUUCCCACCGUUUCAAAGCUCUUACAGACAACAGAGUUAACAACAGCCUGCUACUGCACCCAUCAAGCAAGAGCUGCCCCUGGGAAGGGGGAAAGGUUUCCCACAACACUGUAUUUUCCCUCCAUCUCAGGAUAAGCUGGAUUAAUAAAUAAGCAUCACAGAGUGAAUCUCUGCCCUGC